rnacentral:lncRNA from 1 species
AGAGUGCUAGCUUGGCCCAAUUCUGGAAUAUUCUAGACAACUCUGGCCCAUUUGAGCUUGUAAAUACUCUAGAAUUCUCCAUAGAAUUCCAGCACAUGUACGUAGCUAGAAAGUGAUAGAACUCUCUAGACUCUCUAGAAUUCUCCAUAGAAUUCCAGCACAUGGACAUAGCUAGAAAGUGAUAGAACUCUCUAGACUCUCUAGAGCUUGGCAAGCCUCCCCUAUAAAUAUGGGAUGGCAUUUGGCAUUUGAACAACUCGAAGAAAAUACUACAACAAGCAACUCAAGCAUUGUAAUUCUCUCUUAACUGCAAUACAAGUUUCUUAUUUGGCUCCGUUGCUUUCUUCUCUAGUUCGAGAAGCUCUAGGCUUACUUAGCAACAUUCGGCAAAGUUGUCUAAGUGCCGCACGGGUUAGCUGCGCAAAAUACUCAUCCCGUGACAUUCGGCUCUCUUGUUUACUUUUUACACCUUUUUACGUAUUUUAGCUAGCAGUCCAUG